rnacentral:lncRNA from 1 species
GAUCAUAAAAUUUUUAUCAAUUAGUCUGAUUCAAAUUUGAGAUGAGAAAAAAAUGUAAAGUACCUUUUAGCAAUUCAUAGUUGAGAAAGAAUAAUAAAAUUUCGUUACAAGAAUUUUGUAUCAGUGAAGGUAUAACUGAAAAGUUAAGGUCUAAAUAGUGCCUAAUUGAAAUUAAAUUUAGUCAGAAGAAUUUUGUAUCAGUUAAGGUCAAUUAGUGCCUAAUUGAAAUUUAGAGCAAGUAAUUCAUAUAUGGUAGCUGUUUAUGAAAAUUGAGUAAAUUUUGUCAACUAAAUUAAAUUAGUACCUUUAGUGGAGUGCUGCAGACGAUACGUUGCAUUGUCCAUCGCCGUGUUA